rnacentral:rRNA from 1 species
AUUGAACGCUGGCGGCAGGCUUAACACAUGCAAGUCGAGCGAGCGGCGGACGGGUGAGUAAUGUCUGGGAAACUGCCUGAUGGAGGGGGAUAAUUACUGGAACCGGUAGCUAAUACCGCAUACCAUCAGAUGUGCCCAGAUGGGAUUAGCUAGUAGGUGGGGUAAUGGCUCACCUAGGCGACGAUCCCUAGCUGGUCUGAGAGGAUGACCGUGCACACAGGAACUGAGACACGGUCCAAGCGCCUACGGGAGGCAACAGUGGGGAAUAUUGCACAAAGGGCGCAAGCCUGAUGCAGCCAUGCCGCGUGUAGGAAGAAGGCCUUCGGGUUGUAAAGCACUUUCAGCGAGGAGGCGUUACUCGCAGAAGAAGCACCGGCUAACUCCGUGCCAGCGGCCGCGGUAAUAC